AUUCUUCGGAUGAUUUCCUAUUUGACUGAGCGGCGGACGGGUGAGUAACGCGUGGGUAACCUGCCUCAUACAGGGGGAUAACAGUUAGAAAUGACUGCUAAUACCGCAUAAGACCACAGCACCGCAUGGUACAGCAGGAAAAACUCAGGUGGUAUAGGAUGGGCCCGCGUCUGAUUAGCUAGUUGGUGGGGUAACGGCCUACCAAGGCGACGAUCAGUAGCCGGACUGAGAGGUUGACCGGCCACAUUGGGACUGAGAUACGGCCCAGACUCC
rnacentral:rRNA from 1 species